UGUUCUACGCAGUGAUAUCUCAAUUCUCGUUCAGUGGUUGUAGGUAUAGACGAUUUUCUCAGCUUAUUCGGUCCCCACCGCAGUGGCUGGCGAGGUCUUCGAGUUCUCUCUACAUCGGUCGACGUUAUAUUUCUGAGCAAAGGAGUAGGGCUCUUAAAAUCGGGAGCAGCGGGCGACUGGAACCAACGCAGUCAGCACGUAGACGAUCCGUACGGAUGUCAUCGGCGCUUCGUUGACGAGGUUUCCGGUGUUGUGAACCUUAGAACGUCCUUGGCCGUGCCGAAGUACGUCGUCGUCUGGUGGUGGAUACGGCGAAAAGGACUCGUGGGGAGCCUUGACUCGGGGAGCAGCUAGUUAUAAAGUGGUUGGUGUUCA